AAUAAAUAACUUUAUUAACACACAUUACAAAAAACAAUACAACAGAUUUUAAAAGAAAAAGACGAAUGCAUGUUAAUAGGGCGCCCGCUCAGUUUUAGUUGGGACACCUUAUAGGAUGUCCCGACACUGAUUUUCAGCGGGAAGCCCUAUUAGCUACUGCGCAUCCCUACCGGCGAGCCUGCUGGUGUAAAAGGAAAAUAAUGUUAAUAUAAAUUUAAAUUUAAAACUAAAACAGCACAGAAGGGAUACGCAGCAACUAUUAGUCGCGGGGUACGUGGACACGAACAUAAACCAAUACUAAUAAUAAUAUAACACAGACACAAUUCGAUAAUUAUCAGGAAGAAAUUAUUUAAAACAUUUAACAUAAAAUUUACAAUAAAAAGUUAUUUCCAUUACAUACUUACAAACACGGACAAUACAAUAAAAUUGUACCAAUCCUAUGUCUUCUCCACUUCACGCGAGGCAACUCAAGGAACAAAGAUAGUGAGGUGAAAAAAACAAAGAGAAGAGAAAAAAAAAAAAAAAAAAAAAUGAACGAAAAAGAACUGACAUGUCAAACGUGACAGUGUGUCGUUCAAAUAACGAUUCGACAAAAUAAAAAUAAAAAUAAAAAUUAACCUACCACCGACAGAGUGAAAAAUCACUUUCUUUGGCUACCACGGAUUUAAUUGUGAAUUGUGAUUGCUACCUUCCAAGCGGUAAAUGGAAAAAAUCAAGAUGGUCCACGUAGUAAUGAUGUGGCAAGCAUGUGUCCUGAGGAUUACACCCAAUGUAUUACUUUCCUCUAUGGGAUUGACGUUCUCACACUAAUAACGAUAACGAUAACAACCCUUUAAUGCGUGGCUGGGAACUAUAUACGACUGCGUCAAUCAAAGAUUAUAAUAUUAUAUUUGGAUUGCGCACUAACUAUAACAAGAUGAGGCCGCCAGUGACGCUCAACGACCGUUCGCGCAGGAAUUAAUGCGCGCGACCGGGGUGAUGGCGGCCCAUCUAAUCGGCCACAGAGACACCCACCCAACGCGAGUGCGAUCCUCACUGGUGCCGGGACGACGCAGACAGGCCAGCUGCUGCCAAUACACGCGACGCGCAUGCACUCAAGGGCGCGCAACGGCGGUGGCAGGUCGUUCCAGCACCGCGAGGCCGCAUACCUGAAGGAUCCACGGAAUGCCAUGGUGCGAUGUUUCGGAGUUGCAAAUAUGCGGGUGCAAGAUCUUUUUUGAUAUCUGCUAUGACUCUGAGCCCAUUCCAGCUUAUUAAGCAGAAAUCUAAAAGUCAUAAACCAGGAGCUCCAAAUACUCUGGCGAAAUCAUCAAGGGAUCGAAGAUGGAAGACCUGCGAUCCGUCACUCUUACGAACGAAGACACGCCCUCGUCUCGUCCAAGAGUAUCUCCACUGCUGCUUGCGACACUCCUCACGCACCCGGUAGAACAGCUGCCGAUUGGAGCGGGUCAGGCGCUCGUUGAUGUACACCCGGCCGCCGCCCUCGCCCGUAGCACCGCGACGCACGCGCGCGGCCCGCAGCAGGUCGUCGCGCAGCUGGCGGCGCGCCAGGCGCACCAC